AGAGUUUGAUCCUGGCUCAGGACGAACGCUGGCGGCGCGCCUAACACAUGCAAGUCGAACGAGAGAGAGGGAGCUUGCUUCCUCAAUCGAGUGGCGAACGGGUGAGUAACGCGUGAGGAACCUGCCUCAAAGAGGGGGACAACAGUUGGAAACGACUGCUAAUACCGCAUAAGCCCACAGGUCGGCAUCGACCAGAGGGAAAAGGAGCAAUCCGCUUUGAGAUGGCCUCGCGUCCGAUUAGCUAGUUGGCGAGGUAACGGCCCACCAAGGCAACGAUCGGUAGCCGGACUGAGAGGUUGAACGGCCACAUUGGGACUGAGACACGGCCCAGACUCCUACGGGAGGCAGCAGUGGGGAAUAUUGCACAAUGGGGGAAACCCUGAUGCAGCGACGCCGCGUGGAGGAAGAAGGUCUUCGGAUUGUAACUCCUGUUGUUGAGGAAGACAAUGACGGUACUCAACAAGGAAGUGACGGCUAACUACGUGCCAGCAGCCGCGGUAAAACGUAGGUCACAAGCGUUGUCCGGAAUUACUGGGUGUAAAGGGAGCGCAGGCGGGAAGACAAGUUGGAAGUGAAAUCUAUGGGCUCAACCCAUAAACUGCUUUCAAAACUGUUUUUCUUGGGUAGUGCAGAGGUAGGCGGAAUUCCCGGUGUAGCGGUGGAAUGCGUAGAUAUCGGGAGGAACACCAGUGGCGAAGGCGGCCUACUGGGCACCAACUGACGCUGAGGCUCGAAAGUGUGGGUAGCAAACAGGAUUAGAUACCCUGGUAGUCCACACCGUAAACGAUGAUUACUAGGUGUUGGAGGAUUGACCCCUUCAGUGCCGCAGUUAACACAAUAAGUAAUCCACCUGGGGAGUACGACCGCAAGGUUGAAACUCAAAGGAAUUGACGGGGGCCCGCACAAGCAGUGGAGUAUGUGGUUUAAUUCGACGCAACGCGAAGAACCUUACCAAGUCUUGACAUCCUGCGACGCACAUAGAAAUAUGUGUUUCCUUCGGGACGCAGAGACAGGUGGUGCAUGGUUGUCGUCAGCUCGUGUCGUGAGAUGUUGGGUUAAGUCCCGCAACGAGCGCAACCCUUACUGUCAGUUACUACGCAAGAGGACUCUGGCAGGACUGCCGUUGACAAAACGGAGGAAGGUGGGGAUGACGUCAAAUCAUCAUGCCCUUUAUGACUUGGGCUACACACGUACUACAAUGGCGUUAAACAAAGAGAAGCAAGACCGCGAGGUGGAGCAAAACUCAGAAACAACGUCCCAGUUCGGACUGCAGGCUGCAACUCGCCUGCACGAAGUCGGAAUUGCUAGUAAUCGUGGAUCAGCAUGCCACGGUGAAUACGUUCCCGGGCCUUGUACACACCGCC
rnacentral:rRNA from 1 species